AGACCUCUGCAUCACUACUAUAGUUCAUGGCUAGUCAACAGCAUUUGGAAAGUUGUUUCCAUCUGGAAACUCUUUGCUGUCAUAUGGAAAAUGCAUUGAUGAUGUCAGCCUUGUACUUAAUGGAAAGAGAUCCACAACACUUGAAUUGUCCCUGCUCAGCCAAAAAGUGGCCAAGAACUGAAUGUGCAUGAAGCUCAAAAUAUUUUCUCAGCCACCAAGAAGAUCGCUUCAUCCAAGGACCAAAGCUCAUUGGCAUCAAAGGGCACUGCUCACCCUGCUCUUGAUCUAUGGACUGAGCUUCCCAAUUUACUGCAAACAAUAAAGAAUCAGAAAUGCAUCUGCGACCUCCUUUUGGAAGAAAUACUCAUCUGGCCUCCUUCCCAAACUCUGCAGGACAAUAUCCUGAUUUCAGUACAACUCCUCAAAAACCUGGAAGCAUGACUGGAAAACCAGAUCAUUUUAUCCACUCACAUGGGAACUGGCUGAAAUAAAAUGUACAGCAAGCCAUUCUCCAAUGACUUGUGAUGUGAGAACAGGGAGUAUGGGGAAUGGGCAAUAGUGAUGGAUUCAUUCCUUGGCAGAUAUUCUUGGCCAUUUCCUUCCACACUCUACAACCCCGGGGAAUUUGACAGCUCAGCUACUCCAAGCCUCUGGAAGUUUUUCUGGAAUAGGAAAAAAUACGCCAAUUUCUGUUCUUUGCUACACCAACAACUGUUUUCAUCUAUAUCUCAUUUUGAUCCAGAGAGUAUCCUUUUAAAUUAUCUCCUCAAAAUGAUUUUAUUCUUGUCAGGGAUAUUAAAGAUGUUGCAUGCUGAUUCCUUGAUGAUUCCCAUUCAUGAACUUCUUUUAAUACAUUUUCCCUUUCUAUCCAUAUUUUAAUGUCAAAACCCAUUCAGCAUUUCUGUAUGUUCCUCUCAAUGUUUGCCAGGUCACUGAGGAAAUCCUGCUCAUUAGAUUUGGUCACCCAUAGUGUGAAAACUUCACCUCAGAAACAUCUCUACAGUGCAUUUCCCUGCCCCUCUAAGGGACAGAGACUUCAUUUCCUGACUCCACUCAGUUAAUCGUUUUAUCAAUUAGGCCAGAAAUGUUGCUGUUCUUUGAAUAGAUCAUUUCCUUUAACUGAAAAGAGUUUUGCUGGUGUAAUUAGCGGUACAGGAAACAGUUUUGUGUUGAUAUGGAUAUUUAUUAUUUCCUAUUAGCGAGUAGCAUAUCCUGUGAUAACUUUCAUAAUUAGUGGGCCAAGUGUAAAUUUCAUCAGAAUGCACGUCAUAGCCUUCAGUUUGGGCUUAAAAUGCCAAGUACAAAAAUAGUUUCAAGUCAGAUGUCCUUGCCUCCAAAGCACCUUUGGCACUGUGUUUGCCUGUGACUUAACAACCUUCAUAAAGUAUAAAAAAAUAGCAAAAAUGCAUUUAUCUUGGGUUUCUGUUAGAGUUUUCCUGGGCUGGGAUAUACAGUAAUGGAAAUAACCCUGUGCCACCAUGCUUUACCAAAGGGACAGCCACAAGGAAAGAGGAUGGGACAUAGAAUAUAUCCUUCAAACACAAGACUAAUUACUCCCCGUAUUGUGCUGAUACUGGAAUAUACUUAAUUAUCUCUACCAAUUAAAUUUUUAGGUCAAGUGAGGACAAGAUUCAUGAAAAAGUAGAGUUGGAUAUUUUGGACUCCCUGCAGAGGAUCACUCUGUGCUCCUAUUUCAUUGGGAGGGAGAAAUGACUACAACACGAGGAGGAAAAAUGUGCAGUGACAUGAUAUUGUGGUAGGGGCAAAUGCAGAAAGAAACUGAGGUAUGGGCUAUGUUUGAAAGUGACAAAAGAGAAAAGAAUAGAGUAUUUUCCUGGAAUUUUUAGGCACUUCUUUUUAUUUUGGAAAGUUGUAAUUAAAGUUGCACACAUCAAAUGUUUGUGGUCGAUGAAUUCAGCAUUCUAUCUUCAGAGCAAAUCUCUGGAUUCCUCCUCUAUACAAGGAGACCAGAAUACUGUUUCUUGGAAACACUUUAGAAAACAACUCUAUUUUCUCAAUAUUUUCUGCUGAAAAGCCAUCAUUUUUCAUCCUGUUCAGCUUUGUGGAGGGGGACUCCCCACCUUUGGAUUAAUUUCCCUUUGAGAUUGGAGAUGGAUUCAUUUCACUUUGGGAUUGGAGAUGGAUCUGUUUAGGUGGGCCUGGUCCAUACAAGUUAAAAGCAGACAGAGUUAUGUUGGACACUCUCAGGGCUGUACCCUGGGCCGACAUGUGGAUUGUCUACAUCCUUCUCCUGCACACACAGACACAAAAACUUUUUACAGACUAAUUCUUCCAGCUUUUCUUCAUUUCUGUUAAUUUGCUCUGAAGUCUUUGAACGCAUUAAUUUCAAUCGCUGACUGUAGCAUUCUAGGUAUUAUGCCAUUGUUGGUAAUUUGCCAUUGAAAUUAAGAAAGUUUCCUUUUUUUUGGCCUGUGACAUGAAUUGUCUGUAAAUGCAUCCCAUACUUGCAUGAGGCUUUUUGCCAUUUUAGCAGAUGGAAAUUUCAUAUCUAAUUUAAUGUCCAUUAGGUCUCUUUCAGUACCAUUGCUUUCCAAGUAUUUCUCUUCUAUGAAAUUAGUAUUAACUGCCUGCCUGACCCCCCCUCCCACUAUAUAAUUACCCACCCCUUCCUCUGCCUAAAGACCUUCAAACAAAAUCUGGAAUUAAAUAUGUGAGACCCAAAUGUGCACAUUUAGCGCUAUACACUCUUGAUGCUUGUGUUGGAUCCACAGAUGGCUUGUGAAAGCAGGCUGUGCUGGGAUCAACAAUGGGUAAACAAGAGGUCUGCUGCAAUCAGUGUUUUCCUAUUGGCAAAAAGAGGAGGAAGGAUCAUGCCAGGAGUGACACUAACUCUCAGGGUGAGAAGCAGUGGAGACACAAUUCUUCUUCUCUCAGGGCCUGACAGUGAUGAAAAAAUCUACAAGGCUGCUGCAGGCUUUGCUGCUCUGGCCAAGGUGGAAGCGGAUUUUUUCCACUUCCUUGCGUAGCACAACCACUCCAUUAAAUUAAUAAUCCAACCCUCGAUGCCUCAGAUGACAGGGGAGGCCUUUGAAACUUGACUGAACAAAUGCUUUUAGCAUGCAGUGAACUCUCGGCACACACGAACUCCUCUCUCCUUCAGUGAAAUCAUUAGUUAGCCUCUGCUCAGAUAUCCUGCUGAAUCAGAGGCCAGUGUGCAGCUGCCAGCGGGAGCUUGCUGGGGACUGGUUUGUUUUGUGUCAAUGUAUUUUUAAUUCCCCUCUGCCUGCCCCUUCAUUAAGAUGUUUCUUGGAGAGGGGUUCAGACCUUCCCAGGAGUGUGGGGGCCAACUUACCUCGCUACCCCCAGACUCGCAGCAGGAGGUGGGAAACAUGCUCACCACCAUCUCAGGUUCUGAACACAGAAUAGGAGGGGAAAUUUGUUUUCUACAAAUAACAGUUAAUAAGGAAGGGGAGGAAAUUUGCAUAGGUCAAGCACUGGAGGGAUGAGCAAUCCUGCUGAAUAAUCAUCUGUAUGCCCCACUCAAACAAGGCAGAUAUUUACAGGGGAAGUAGGACUGCAUGGAGAUUGAAUAUUAAAAAAAAAUAUAUAUAUUUUAUAGUUUUAGAAAUCCAGGUAGGACCAUAUUAAAUAUUGUGAGAUUGCUUAAAUUGCAACUUUCCAAGAAAAUAAUUGAUUCUGAUACCAUGGUAUUACCAAAAUAUAUCUUUGCUUUAGAAUCCAGCUAACAUUCCAGCUUAGAGGGACCUAAUGACAAACCUGGGUGAAAGAGAUCCUAAGGACCCCAGAGGGUCUGUCUCUUGUGGAGAAGCAGCAGCACAGGUACUGCAUGGGAGGGCUGUGGGGCUACGCCCUGCACCUCCAGGACAUGGGCUUGGUGCAGGACCUGUGCAGCUUGCACAGAACUCCAGGAGUAGCCAGGGGCUCCUCCCUUUUGUUUUCACAGCAUGGAUGACAAGCGGGUUUCAUUUGAAGAUGCCUAAGUACAUUGCUGGGUUCAAACUGUGUAGAACAGAAUUUCAACCUUGGAGUUUAAAUAUGUAAUUGUUGUAUUAAAUAAUUGUCAUUGAAUUUAUCCCCUUAAUUUAUUUUUGGGGAAGGUCUCGCUUUGCCAAUACUAGGGAACACAUGCUGUAAGAACUCAUAGUUUGACAGAAGGAUAGGGAAUCUGACAAAUUACGAGGUUUAUUUGCACAUUUCUAAUCCAGCCUGGAUGUAAAUUUCUACAGCAUCCAGAGA